CGCGAGGGGGAGCAAAUCACAAAAAUGCCAUCUCAGUUCGGAUUGUAGUCUGCAACUCGACUACAUGAAGCUGGAAUCGCUAGUAAUCGCGAAUCAGAAUGUCGCGGUGAAUACGUUCCCGGGUCUUGUACACACCGCCCGUCACACCAUGGGAGUCAGUAACGCCCGAAGUCAGUGACCCAACCGCAAGGAGGGAGCUGCCGAAGGCGGGACCGAUAACUGGGGUGAAGUCGUAACAAGGUAGCCGUAUCGGAAGGUGCGGCUGGAUCACCUCCUUU
rnacentral:ncRNA from 1 species